ACGAAGGGUGCUAGCGUUGUUCGGAAUCACUGGGCGUAAAGCGCGCGUAGGCGGCCUGUCAAGUCAGGGGUGAAAUGCCGGAGCUUAACUCCGGAACUGCCUUUGAAACUGACGGGCUGGAAGGUGAGAGGGGAGAGCGGAAUUUCUGGUGUAGAGGUGAAAUUCGUAGAUACCAGAAGGAACACCGGUGGCGAAGGCGGCUCUCUGGCUCACUCUUGACGCUCUGGCGCGAAAGCGUGGGGAUCAAACAGGA
rnacentral:rRNA from 1 species